GUGGGGAAUCUUGCGCAAUGGGCGAAAGCCUGACGCAGCGACGCCGCGUGAGCGAUGAAGGCCUUCGGGUUGUAAAGCUCUGUGGGGAGAGAAGAAUAAGGGUUGGCUAACAUCCAACUUGAUGACGGUAUCUCCUUAGCAAGCACCGGCUAACUCUGUGCCAGCAGCCGCGGUAAGACAGAGGGUGCAAACGUUGUUCGGAAUCACUGGGCGUAAAGCGCGUGUAGGCUGUUUGGCAAGUCGGAUGUGAAAUCCCACGGCUCAACCAUGGAAGUGCAUUCGAAACUGCCAAACUAGAGUUCUGGAGAGGAAGGCGGAAUACUCGGUGUAGAGGUGAAAUUCGUAGAUAUCGAGUGGAACACCGGUGGCGAAGGCGGCCUUCUGGACAGUGACUGACGCUGAAACGCGAAAGCGUGGGGAGCAAACAGGAUUAGAAACCCCUGUAGUCC
rnacentral:rRNA from 1 species